AACGAACGCUGGCGGCAUGCCUAACACAUGCAAGUCGAACGAGACCUUCGGGUCUAGUGGCGCACGGGUGCGUAACGCGUGGGAACCUGCCCUUAGGUUCGGAAUAACUCUCCGACAGGGGUGCUAAUACCGGAUAAUGUCUUCGGACCAAAGAUUUAUCGCCUUAGGAUGGGCCCGCGUUGGAUUCGCUAGUUGGUAGGGUAAAAGCUUCCCAAGGCGACGAUCCAUAGCUGGUCUGAGAGGAUGAUCAGCCACACUGGGACUGAGACACGGCCCAGACUCCUACGGGAGGCAGCAGUGGGGAAUAUUGGACAAUCGGCGAAAGCCUGAUCCAGCAAUGCCGCGUGAGUGAUGAAGGCCUUAGAGUUGUAAAGCUCUUUUAACCGGGAUGAUAAUGACAGUACCGGGAGAAUAAGCUCCGGCUAACUCCGUG
rnacentral:rRNA from 1 species